AUUGAACGCUGGCGGCAGGCCUAACACAUGCAAGUCGAGCGGAUGAAGGGAGCUUGCUCCUGGAUUCAGCGGCGGACGGGUGAGUAAUGCCUAGGAAUCUGCCUGGUAGUGGGGGAUAACGUCCGGAAACGGGCGCUAAUACCGCAUACGUCCUGAGGGAGAAAGUGGGGGAUCUUCGGACCUCACGCUAUCAGAUGAGCCUAGGUCGGAUUAGCUAGUUGGUGGGGUAAAGGCCUACCAAGGCGACGAUCCGUAACUGGUCUGAGAGGAUGAUCAGUCACACUGGAACUGAGACACGGUCCAGACUCCUACGGGAGGCAGCAGUGGGGAAUAUUGGACAAUGGGCGAAGGCCUGAUCCAGCCAUGCCGAGUGUGUGAAGAAGGUCUUCGGAUUGUAAAGCCCUUUAAGUUGGGAGGAAGGGCAGUAAGUUAAUACCUUGCUGUUUUGACGUUACCAACAGAAUAAGCACCGGCUAACUUCGUG
rnacentral:rRNA from 1 species